rnacentral:lncRNA from 1 species
CCCUUCCCUCCACUUCUGUCCCCCUUCCCUUUUCUUUUCGCUUCUUUUCUUUUCUUGAGACAGGAUCUCACUCUGUUGCCCAGACUGGAGUACAGUGAAGUGAUCAUGGGUCACUGCAGCUUCGACCUCCUGGGCUCAAGCCGUGCUCUCUCCUCAGCCUCCUGAGUAGCUGGGACUACACACGCACACCACCAUGACUGCCUAAUUUUUUAAAUUUUUAUAUUUUUUGGAGACAGCGUUUCAUGCAGGUUUUCAUGCCCAAGCUGGAGUGCAGUGGUACAGUCUCUUGGCUCACUGCAACGUCUGCCUCCUGGGCGAAAGCAGUAUUCCUACCUUGGCCUCCCACGUAGCUGCAGCCACAGGCACUAGCCACCACGCUCGGCUAUUUUUUUUUAUUUUUUAGACACAAGACUUCACCAUGUUGUCCAGGCUGGUCUCGAACUCCUGAGCUCAAGUGAUACACCCGCCUUAGCCUCCCAAAGUGCUGGGAUCACAGGCAUGAACCACCAUGCCCAGCCUGGUUAAUGUUUAAAUGUUUCCUGGAGAUGGGGCUUCACUAUGUAGUGCAGGCUGGUCUUGAACUCCUGGGCUCAAGUGAUCCACCUCAGCCUCCUAAAGUGCUGGGAUGACAGAUAUGCACCCCCACACUCAGAGAUAUUAUUUUCUUUUCUUUUUUUUUUUCUUUUUAUUUUUUUGAGAGGGGUCUUGCUCUUGUCCCCCAGGCUUGAGUGCAGUGGCUCGUUCUCAGCUCACUGCAACCUCCACCACCCGGGAUCAAACAAUUCUCCUGCCUCUGCCUCCCAAGUAGCUGGGAUUACAGGCACCUGCCACCACGCCUGGCUGAUUUUUGUAUUUUUUAGUAGAGAUGGUGUUUCAUUAUGUUACCCAGGCUGGUCUCAAACUCCUGACCUCAGGUGAUCUGCCCGCCUUGGCCUCCCAAAGUGCUGGGAUGACAGGCGUGAGUCACCGCGCCUGGCUGACCAUGCUUUCACACAAAUGUCCCAGACCCUGGGGACGACAGCUGACCAGAGAGUGAUUGAACUAUGCAGAGUCCCAGCCUCACCUCCCACAUCCCUUCUCUCUCAUUUGCCCACCUAUUACCCCUACCUUAAAAAAACACCCUGUAGAAAUACCCACUAGGGCCAGACGCAUUAUGUGAGGCUUUUCAUUUUUUAUUCUUUUUUUUUUUUUUGAGAUGGAGUCUCACUGUGUUGCCCAGGCUGGAGCGCAGUGGCAUGAUCUUGGCUCACUGCAACCUCUGUCCCCCCGGAUUCAAGCAAUUCUCCUGCCUCAGUCUCCUGAGUAGCUGGGAUUACAGGUGUGCACCACCACGCCUGGCUAAUUUUUGUAUUUCUAGUAGAGACGGGGUUUCGCCAUCUUGGCCAGGCUGGUCUCAAACUCCUGACCUCAGGUGAUCCACCUGGCUCGGCCUCCCAAAGUGCUGGGAUUAACAGGCGUGAGCCUCCGCGCCUGGCCAACCAUGUUUCUAUACAAGCGUCCCAGACCCUGGAGAUGACAGCAGACCAGAGAGUGAUUGAACUAUGCAGAGUCCCAGUCCCACCUCCCAAAUCCCUUCUCCUCUCUCCUUUGCCCACCUACUACCCCCCACCUUAAAAAACACCCUGUAUCAAUACCCGGUAGGGCCAGAGGCAUUAUUUGAGGCUCUUCAUUAUUUUCUGAGACAUCAAUAGACUACGUGUUGGCAGAAUAAUUGACUUUGCAAUUUACAUUGGUGAUAUAGGAGGGACAGAUCCUGCUUCUCGGAAACCUCCAUGAUUUGCACAUGUGCCUGCCUCCUCCUUUGCAGGUGCGGUGUUUGGGAAGGAGCAGUGAGCCACAGGGGGAUGGGAGCCCAAGGUGUGGCCCUGCAGGGAGGGUCCAAUGGCCCAUGAGUGUGGGUGAUUCAAGAAUGUCAGACUGGCUGGGCACGGUGGCUCACUCCUGUAAUCUCAGCACUUUGGGAGGCCAAGGCGGGCAGAUUACCUGAGGUCGGGAGUUGGAGACCAUCCUGGCCAAGAUGGUGAAACCCUGUCUCGACUAAAAAUACAAAAAUUAGCUAAGUGUAGUAGCAGGUGCCUGUAAUCCUAGCUACUUGGGAGGCUGAGGCAGGGAAGUGCUUGAACCCAGGAGGUGGAGGUUGCAGUGAGCCAAGAUCAUGCUACUGCACUCCAGCCUGGGCAACAGGGUGAGACUCCAACUCAAAAAAAAAAAAAAAAAAAAAAGAGCAUCUGUCAUUUGCAACAACACGGGUGAAUUUGAAGGAUAUUGUGUUCAGUGAAAUAAGCCAGGCACGGAAAGACAAGUACCACAUGAUCUCAUUCCUAUGUAAAAGUCUAGAAACCUUGGUCUCACAGAAGCAGAGAGCACAGUGGUGGUUACCAGGGGAUGGGCAUGGGUGGGGCAUGGGAAGAUGUUGGUCAGAGUAUUACAGGCCACUAGACAGGCAUGGGCGGGCAGGAGAGGGCUCUUCCACCCACCAGCAAUGCCAGGUGCUGGUUCAGCGAUGAUCGCAUUGCCUCUCUAAAAAAUGAUAAAUUGGCGGCUGGGCACGGUGGCCCACACCUGUCAUCCCAGCACUUUGGAAGGCCGAGGCAGGUGGAUCACGAGGUCAGGAGUUCAAGACCAGCCUGGCCAAGAUGGUGAAACCCCAUCUUUACUAAAAAUACAAAAUUAGCCAGACAUGAUGGUGCAUGCCUGUAAUCCCAUGCUUGAAACUGGGAGGCGGAGGUUGUUGCAGUGAGCUGAGAUCGUGCCACUGCACUCCAGCCUGGGCGAUAGAGUGAGACUCAGUGUCAAAAAAAAAAAAAAAUUGGCAGCCUGUGGCAGGGAGAGACCAUUUCCUGAUGUUCCACACCUGUCACACUCAAUUGUUCAUUGAGUGCAAGUGCCGUGGAAACACAACUUCCUAAGCAUGCACAUUAGGAGAAAACAUGGCGGAAUAUGACCUUCUGAGGUCACUCCACUGGAAACAGGAAGAAAGCCUCAGAUAUGGGCACGCUACAACUUCCUAAACCUCAUGCUCACCUCCCAAGCAUAAGGAGGGCACUGUGCAUGCGGGCAGCUCACCCUAGGGGAAGAAUCAUGGGAAAGGGAUACAAGAUGCUAGAAGUGGACCAGCCUAUAAGGUCCUGUAAAGUUAAACACCACACUUGUUCUUCAGGGCGCCUGCUUGGGUCUCUUUCAAGUGUACUUCCGUUCUUUUCUGUUCUGAAGCUUUUAAAAUAAACUUCCACUCGGCUGGGCGCAGUGGCUCAUGCCUGUAAUCCCAGCACUUUGGGAGGCUGAGGUGGGUGGAUCAGAAGGUCAGAAGUUCGAGACCAGCCUAGCCAAUACGGUGAAACCCCGUCUCUACUAAAAAUACAAAAAUUAGCCCUGCAUGGUGGCGCACACCUGUAAUCCCAGCUACUCAGGAGAUUGAGGCAGGAGAAUCGCUUGAACCCGGAAGGUGGAGGUUGCAAUGAGCCGAGAUCGCACUGCUGCACUCCAGCCUGGGUGGCAAGAGCGAGACUCUGUCUCAAAACAAAAACAAAAACAAAAGCCUUCCACUCCUGCUCUGAAACUUGCCCGGGUCUCUCUCUCUGCCUUAUGGCCCUCAGUCAAAUUCUUUCUUCUGAGGAUGCAAGAAUUCCAGUGGCUGCAGGCCUGUAUGGAUUCAUCACUGGUAACUCAGAUACCUUCCACCACAUUAUAAUAAAAGGGCAGAACAUUUCAGUUAGACCUAAGGAAUAAGUUCAAGAGAUAUAUUGCACAAUGUGGUGAUUGUAGUUAAUAUCAAUGUACUGCAUACUUGAAAACCACUAAGACAGUAGAUUUUAACUGUUUUCACCACAUUAAAAAAAUAAGUAUGGGCUGGGAAUGGUGGCUCACGCCUGUAAUCCCAGCACUUUGGGAGGGUGAGGGGGGUGGAUCACGAGGACAGGAGAUUGAAACCAUCCUGGCUAACACAGUGGAACCCCACCUCUACUAAAAAUACAAAAAUUUAGCCAGGCGUGGUGGCAGGCACCUAUAGUCCCAGCUACUUGGGAGGCUGAGGCAGGAGAAUUGCUUGAACCCAGGAGGCAGAGGUUGCAGUCAGCCGAGAUUACACCACUGCACUCCAGCCUGCAUGACAGAGCCAGACUCCAUCUAAAAAAAAAAAAAAAGUAUUUAUGGUAAUAUGUUAAUUAGUUUUAGUUACCCAUCCCAUAAUGGAUACAUAUUUCAGUAUAUGAAUGGAAUGUUAUGUUGUAUAUCAGAAGCAUAUCUAAUUUUUGUUUGUCAAUGACAAAAAGAAAAUAGUCCUCAUCAUUGUGACUGGCUCAGGCUAAACACAUACACUAUUUUUAUUUCUGCAGUUACUCUUCUAUUUCUGUGCUACGUCUUAAAAUUAUCCAUUGCAAAUGGCAUGUAGCUUUGAAAAUAUAAACUUGCCACCUGAUCCAAAACUUUUCAGUUCUGUCAUAGUUUUGUGUUUUUUUUUUUUUUUUGAGAUGGAGUCUCAUUCUGUUGCCCAGGCUGGAGUGCAGUGGCAUGAUUUCAGCUCACUGCAACCUCCACCUCCUGGGUUCAAGCGAUUCUCCUGCCUCAGCCUCCCGGGUAGCUGGGACUACAGGCGCAUGCUGCCACGCCCGGCUAAUUUUUUGUAUUUUAGUAGAGACAGGGUUUCACCGUUGUUGCCCAGGCUGGUCUCGAACUCCUGAGCUCAGGCAAUCCGCCUGCCUCAGCCUCCCAAAGUGCUAGGAUUACAGGCGUGAGCCACGGUGCCAGCCUCCGUCAUAGUUUCUAAAACACCCACACCACAACAGUAAUCUUGACUCAACUUCAGCUCCUCAUCCUGUGUCUAAGCCAAGUUUAGCCGAAGAAAACAUCUGCCGAGAAAGUAAAAACAAAAACAUCUGCCAAAGGCAAGAACCCGGUGGGAAGCCCCCUGAGCCCAGUGGCCUGCAGAGUCUGUUCUAGUGACAAAGCAGGCAACUGGAAGAGAUCAGGGCUGCGAGACAGCGUGGGUGGGUUUUUAUCUGCUGCUUCUGUAAAUUCAUUGCAUGAUACGUCUGUUUUUCAGAGGUCCCAAAGCAAAGAAACAAAGCCCCACAGAGUUCACCCAGAGGGAAGGCCUUCACUGGAUCAGGCUAUAAGAGAAGGACUCUCCCCUGAGAAAGAUAAAUACUUAUUUUGGGGCCGUGUUUAGAGAAAAAGGAAGAACGAUGGCUUUCCCAUAGAAACAUUUACUUAUUUUGUGAUUUGAAAAUGGACUUUUAUGUUUUAGGAAUUAUGUGGAUGGGAUGUUUUCUUGGGUGAUCGAUUUGAAAUUGCAGAGGGGAGCAGGUGCCAUGUGCUGGCAAUGGCCGGCCUUCCUUCCUUCCUUCCUUCCUUCCUUCCUUCCUUCCUUCCUUCCUUCCUUCCUCCAUUCCUCCUACCCCCCGUUUCUUCCUUCUUUCUCUCUCUUUCUUUCCUUUUCUCUUUUUCUUUCUUUUUCUUUCUUUUCUUUCUUUCUUUCUCUCUCUCUCUUUCUCUCUCUCUCUCUUUCAUUUUGUUUGUUUUAAUGAGUGAGAGUAAAGAGAAAGAAAAGAACUGUUUUUAUUUUUUGUCUACCUUUAUUGUAAGGAGAGAGUGAGGAUACCAUGCCACACAUGCAGGGUCCUGAGCAGAGGGCUGCACCCUGCUUAGUUCUAAAGACACCUAGACUUUAUCCUGAAAGCCACUGAGAGGCCCAUAUUUUGAAACACUCAGCCUCUCAGAAGAGGAUAGAAUGGGUUGCCAGUGUAAUAGGGAGAGAAAUCGAACAUAGCUGACUCCAUGUUGCUUCUGACUCCUCAAGCUAACUGCUUUUAGGCACUUCUGCACACGGGCCAAGUUAAUCAUGGAAAGAACUUAGAUUACAGUUUAACUGGAAAGCAAGGAUGAUAAGCGUUCCUUUCCAAAACUAACCUCUGAGGAGAUAAGAAGGGCAUGCACACAAGUAACAAUGUUAUAUUGAAGACUUGUAGGAGCGCUGUGACCUGAGCAAGGACAAAGUUUUGCAAUCUCCUUGGGCCCCUGCUGAUGCCCAAGUGUCUGUGGUCACCAGCCACCCCCCUCACCUCAGUCUCCUCCUUGUUCCCCUUCAGUGUACCCCUUCAAUGUACAAAGAAGCUUGAGAUUCAUGCCUUUAAAGAUGGUUCGUUAGGACAUGGGUCCAGUAUCUUCCUGACUUGCUGGCUCUCCAAAUAAAGAUGCUUUUCUUGCUCUAACUUUUUGUCUCGUGAAUCAUUGGCUGUUAUGCAGUGAGCCUCAGGAACUUUGGACUCCACAGCACCAGGACAACUCUCAGGACUCCCAGUCUCUAUUGGGUGCAGGAAUCACUGGGGAGUCUGGCUGAAGUGCAGACUCUGAUUGAGGAGGCCUGGGACACGAGGCCUGAGAUUCUGCAUCUCCAGUAAGCACCAAGGGGAUGUUGAUGCUGCUGAUCCAGGGACCACACCUUGGAGAGCAAUGCUGAGAAGCUGGUGGAAGAGCCCAGGCUCAUGAAGAUCUGAACAUGGUCCAUAGCAGGGAGGUUGGGGAAAUGAGAUAAAAAUGUUAAAAAUGGCAGUUACCUUCCUGGAGAAGAAAUGGCUUUUCCAUUCCUUAUUAGGCUCAUGUCUUUGGAACUAGCCCCCACUGGUCUCCUUCCUGUUAUAUACCUGCAGUUACCAUGUUCUUGUUAAGGAAGAAUGGCAAAUGCAAAAAAAAAAAAAAAAAAAGAGGAAGUUGAUCAUGUUUGGUUGCUUUUGGUCAUCACAAUAAAUAAAUAAAAUCUGAAAUUUCCCCCUGACUUUGCAAAUGUUUUCUUCCAAGGAGAGCAACAGACAUGUGUCAGCCUUAUUGGAUUUCUUUGGUUCCCGAACAGCCUGCCAUGAGGUAUGAAGGACACAUGACCUUUUAUGUAAUUGGUGAGACCCAAUGUCUUCCAGAUGUUGGGUGUCUCAUCCCAGUGUGAGGAUUUUUUUUUAUUAUUUUUUUGAGAUGGAGUCUUGCUCUGUUGCCCUGGCUAGAGUGCAAUGGUGCAAUGUUGGCUCACUGCAACCUCCACCUCUCAGGUUCAAGCGAUUUUCCUGUCUCAGCCUCCCGAGUAGCUGGGAUUACAGGUGCGUGCCACUACACCCAGCUAAUUUUUUGCAUUUUAGUAGAGACGGGAUUUCACUGUGUUGCCCAGGCUGGUCUUGAACUCCUGAGCUCAGGAAAUCCACGCCCCUCGGCCUCCCAAAGUGCUGGGAUUACAGGCAUGAGCCACCGCGACUGGCCGAGGAUUAAGUUUUUAAAACUUAAUUUCCCUUUAGAAAAGAGAAUUUAACCUAGAUGUUGGUUCUUAAUUUAUCUUGAGUAAAAGUUGUCUUUGCUAAUAUGAAUUUUUAAAGUCAUCAAUUGGUUCAUACAGUUUUGUGUGAUUCACCUCCAAAUGUUUUC